rnacentral:rRNA from 1 species
AGCCAGACUCCUACGGGAGGCAGCAGUGGGGAAUAUUGCACAAUGGGGGAAACCCUGAUGCAGCGACGCCGCGUGAGCGAUGAAGUAUUUCGGUAUGUAAAGCUCUAUCAGCAGGGAAGAAGAUGACGGUACCUGACUAAGAAGCCCCGGCUAACUACGUGCCAGCAGCCGCGGUAAUACGUAGGGGGCAAGCGUUAUCCGGAUUUACUGGGUGUAAAGGGAGCGUAGACGGCGAUGCAAGCCAGAUGUGAAAGCCCGGGGCUCAACCCCGGGACUGCAUUUGGAACUGUGUGGCUGGAGUGUCGGAGAGGCAGGCGGAAUUCCUGGUGUAACGGUGAAAUGCGUAGAUAUCAGGAGGAACACCGGUGGCGAAGGCGGCCUGCUGGACUGCGACUGACGUUGAGGCCCGAAAGCGUGGGGAGCAAACAGGAUUAGAUACCCCAGUA